GCCGUCCGGCCGCGUCGGGGCCUCGCCGCGCUCUACCUACCUACCUGGUUGAUCCUGCCAGUAGCAUAUGCUUGUCUCAAAGAUUAAGCCAUGCAUGUCUAAGUACGCACGGCCGGUACAGUGAAACUGCGAAUGGCUCAUUAAAUCAGUUAUGGUUCCUUUGGUCGCUCGCUCCUCUCCUACUUGGAUAACUGUGGUAAUUCUAGAGCUAAUACAUGCCGACGGGCGCUGACCCCCUUCGCGGGGGGGAUGCGUGCAUUUAUCAGAUCAAAACCAACCCGGUCAGCCCCUCUCCGGCCCCGGCCGG
rnacentral:lncRNA from 1 species